GACGAACGCUGGCGGCGUGCCUAAUACAUGCAAGUCGAGCGAGCGGCGGACGGGUGAGUAAUGUAUGGGGACUGCCCGCUAGAGGGGGAUAACUACUGGAAACGGUGGCUAAUACCGCAUACUAUCGGAUAACCCAUAUGGGAUUAGCUAGUAGGUGGGGUAAAGGCUCACCUAGGCGACGAUCUCUAGCUGGUCUGCGAGGAUGAUCAGCCAACCUGGGACUGAGACACGCCCCAGAUCACUACGGAGGCAGCAGUGGGGAAUAUUGCACAAUGGGCGCAAGCCUGAUGCAGCCAUGCCGCGUUUAUGAAGAUGGCCUUAGGGUUGUAAAGUACUUUCAGCGGGGAGGCGUUACCCGCAGAAGAAGCACCGGCUAACUCCGUGCCAGCAGCCGCGGUAACAC
rnacentral:rRNA from 1 species